GCCUCUUCCAGGAGCCUCAAGGCCUCCAGGGCUUCAGUGUCUGGGGCUUUGUCCUCAGCUGGGCCCUUUGUGCCACUGAGGGUCAAUGCUUGUGUGGUUAAAAGAAAGAGUUGGUCCAAGCAUGGGUGCGUGCCCGCAGGGUUUAUUUCUAUGUAAAUACCUUUUCUGCUUUGUUCUCAGUGCUCACGGAGGGAAGGAGAGAGAAGGGGAGGAGGAGGACUCUGUAGGGAGCACUCUCGGCUUGGCCUACCAGCCCCAGCAGGGUCCUUCCCACCACCCUCUGGGUGGAGAGUGACCCCCUGUGCAGUGUGGGGCUCAUCUGGCCAGACGGGAGGUGCUGGGGUGGGCAAGGUCCCCGGGCUCUGAGUGGUGUUGGCGGACAGGGUGGGCUCAGGCUCACAGGGGUGGCCCAGCCAGGCCUGAGCACUCCUCCGAAGCUUAUGUUACGUGAGCCUUGCCGUUCAGGGCUCAUUCUCGGGGUGUGGUGAGGUGGACGCCACAUUCUGCGGGUGUCACUCCAAGUUCUCACCCUGCAGUGUGUGGGUGGGUUCAGCCGGUCCUGCCAGACGCCGGGAGGGAAGGGGAUCUGGGGAUGGCCCCAGGGUGGGGCUCAGUUUACAGGGCCCAGCUUGGGGACAGCUCCAGGGGAUACCUCAGGAGCCUCCUGGGGUGGGGGGGCCAGCCCCCAGUGCAUGGCUGUGUGGUCCAAGCGCCUGUCUCCCUGCCACAUGGCCUCAACUCUGGCCCAGAGACCGGCCCUGGAGGGAGAGUGUGGUCCGAACCCUAGGGCUGGCCCCUGCCCAACGAGGCUCAGGGACGCCCGGGAGCCUCCAGGGUCUCUGGGUCCCACUACUGGGGGCUGACGGGUUGUGACAUUGGCCCUGCGGCCACACGUGCUCCCCCCUGCCCUGGGCUCAGGCACUCUGGGGGGCCCAGCUGCUUCUGUCUUGGCCUCCCCGGGUUGGGAGGGGGCUGAGGGCUGUGGGGUGGGCCUCCAGGUGUUCCUGACUGUGGCCCCCGGGGCUGGGCCAAAAGCCUGGGUCUGCAGUCUCUGCCUGGGGACUAUGGCUUGAGUCCCUCGGAGGCCUGGUGGGGACAGGCCAUGGCGAGCGGGGUCCGAGAGCCCCAGACCUGGCGGCUUCACGCUGAUGGGCCCCCGGCAGGCAGCUCCCUCCUCCAGCGGCGAUCAGGCCGCGGAUGGACGGUUUUACCAGACAGUAAUUAGACAGAGGGCAGGUCUAACCGUGUCUGGUAAGACGUUCAUCCCCCGGCAGUGGUGUGGGCGGCCUCUGGGGUCCUAGGCUGGUAUCCUGCAGGGUCUGUGGAGGGAAGGCCAGGAGGUGCCCCCCCACCUGCCCCGAUCCCUCCUGGAUCUGCAGAAGGAACCCCCAGGCGCUUCCCUGACAGCCUCAUCCUGGCACCUGGCCCCAGCCCGGCCGCAUGUGGUGCUGAGAGCCAUCUGGUCACCCUGGCCCUGCUCUUGGCAAAGAUUCCCGCAGCCCCUCACUGGCUCCUUGACACUCCGUCAGGUUAAUGAGUAACGGAGAGACCAGGGCAGCCACCCCCUCCCCAGGCUGGGGCCUAGUGUGGGGUGUGGUUCCAGGUGCCCUGGCUGCAGAUCAAAAUGAUUAAACAGUGGGUGAUCCUGGCUUCCUGGGUUUCGGACAAGUACCCGUUCUUGUUGAUGGGAGAAGGAAUGAGACCCCUCACCCUGCACCAGGUCACGGCACCGAGCGUCCCGCUCUCCUGCGUCGUUGGUCUUGAGAAUCUGAGCCUACCCUGUCCUUCCUGUGUCCCCUGCAGACCCUCCACGGAGCUGGAGCCGGGGUUCAGACCUCAGGAAGGAGGGAGGCCCCCACUCCUCUCACCUCUCCAGCCCUGGCAUCCCUGCCCUAGGGCCUUUCCUGGAGCUGGGUCACCCCAAAGCCCAGCCUGGGGGAUCCUGGGGUGGGGGAGGCUCAGCUGCUCACGGUGUCAGACCCAGCCUGGGCAUGAGUGACCCAGGGCACCCUCGGCAGAGGCCAGCCUUCCCCUGGGUACAGGGCUUUGGAGCUGACACAGGCCCUCCACUGCCCAGCUCAGCCGCCCUCCACAUCUCUGGCAAGGGAGCUCUGGACGUGCACGUGCAUCGGUGGGGUCCCCGGCGAGCGGUGGGUCACCUUUGAACAUCGUUACCAGACAGUGUUAGAGUAAAGCUGGGAAAUCCAGCACUGUCUGGUAAGAUGCCCACAGGGGCCCCAGUGGCCAGCAGGAGCCGCUGUGGAGUCCAGGGAAGCCACUGCUGGGGAGCAGCCAGGGCGGGGCUGGUACCAGACAUCGGCUGGCGGAGCGUGCUCAGGGGCUGAGACUCCGAGGCUGCACAGGCCCACCCUCCCCGUUUCCUCCAGGCUAAGGGACUUGGGGCCGCAGACCCAGGACCAAGGCGCGGAGCUGGUCUGCUCAGCAUGGCCCACCCCGUCGUGGAAGGAAAGGUGGCUGGUGGGCAGCUUCCUCAAGGCCUCUGGGCUCCACGUGGCUCCAGGCUGGGCCUUGCCCUCCUGAGCCCUUUGUUGAACCCCGUUCAGCCCGCACCUGCUGGGUGUGGUGGCAGCACCUGCCCAGAACUGUGGGCAGGGUCCGGACACCUGAGUGUCCUAAUCCCCGGAUGGCUGUGGGGUGCCCUGGGUGCGGCUGCAGGAAGCAUUGCUUUCUGGGGGCUUGGAGACUCGGGGGGCCCAGACCCCUUCCCAAGGUCACUCCCCCCAUCACUCUCCCCAGAGCCAUCUGGGCUGGAUGGAGUUGGGUCUGCUGAGUGGGCUGUAGGGAGGGGAGUGUGGACUGGGUGGGAGGCCCUGGGGGCCGGGAGGGUCGCCGGUCGCUGCUGGCAGGACCCCGCCGUCAUCAUUACCAGGCAGUAUUAGAGACCUGACUCCAUCCAAUGCUGCCCAGUAAGAUGGCCACGGCUGCCCGAGCUGCGUCUGGGGGCUGCCCGGCUGGGGGCUGUCUGGGACUCACUGGGGGGGCUCAAUAGCUGGGGGGCCUCAUCCUCCUUGGGCACUCAGGAGGGCAGGCCUCAUGAUGCACCAUGGCCUCAGCCACUCUGGGGGCUAAGCCAGGAAGGCUGGGUGCACAGGGUGACCCCCCACCUGGAGUCCAGCAGCCACCGGCUUUGGGGCCUGGGGUGGGUGCCUGGGGACCGAGGGUCAGUUCAGAGUGGGGCAGACAUAGGCCUCUGCUGGCCCCAUCUACGGGGACCCUCCCUCAGGUGGUCCCACAGGAAGGCCUGGACAGCAGCCCCAGCCCCCGGGACCCUGCGUGCUGCCUGUCUGAGGUGGGGGACAAGGGCCUCGGUCUCCAGCAGGUGCUUCCCUGCCCAGCCCCUUCUUUUCUGUCAGGCUCUCCAGACAGGAUGGCCUGUCCCACCUGGAGACCCCUCUCCCAUGCUGCCCUGCUCACUGCAUGGCAUCUGAGGGCAGGGGGUACAGGGGGUGCAGGGAGUGCAGGAGGGUGCAGGUGGUGAGGGUGCAGAUGGAGAAGCAGAUGGGGCUGCAGGCGGGGUGUGGGGUACGGGGGUGCUGGGUGGGUGCAGGGGUUUGCAGAUGGGGUAUAGACAGUGUACGGGUGGGGGCUCGGGGGUUGCAGGUGGCGAGGGGUUGGGGGGCACAGGCGUGGGGACACAGGAGGGGAGGCUCCUGGCUGUGUCUGGCUGGCUCUGUGGUUUGUGUGUCUGCUGGUCUGGGGUCUGCGUGUCUGUGGCUAGUCUGGGGUCUGACCUAGGGGUGCACAGGAGACACAGGUAGCCAGGCCUUGGGUGCUGGGGGACCCAGCACCUCUGCAGGGGGGAGGAAAUGGGCAGCCCUGUGGCCUUUCCUGGCUCAGGCCCUGCCUGGAGCCCAGAGACCACAGGUGCCUAUUCCAGGAACACGAAGGGCCUGAGGGAGAUUCAGCCCUCGGGCCAGACCUGCAGGCCAGGCUCCCUGCCCUCCUUCCCACCCCUUCUCUGCCUGCCCCCCAGGUGAUGACUGGGCGGGAGAGCUGGCCAGAGCCGCUCUUCAAGUUUUCUGGCACCUUCCACCCACAGAGACUGUGGUGGAGGGGGGUGCAGAUCCUGGGCUGAUCCCUGUCUGCCCGCCAACCACAACAAAGGCCGAGUCUGCCCACCCCCCACCUGCUGCAGGUCCACAGGUCCCCAGACUCUUCCUCCAAAGGCAUCUCCCGGACCUGAGCCCCUGGAACCCCAGCAGGUGGAGACGGAUGGGCCUUUCUCACACCGGACCCUCUCUGGAGAUCCCACACCAGGCCCCCUGCCCUGGCCCCGCCUGUCAGCCUUCCCUCACCUCACGGGCCGCCACCACCGAUCCCAUAAAAUCAGUGCUUCAGGAACGCUUUUCACCUGUCUUCUGAGCUAAGGGAAACUAAGACUUCCCAUGCAGAGCAGAGUUGAAUUUCAGCUCCGUUCCUGGCUGCCAGUCCACAUGGGGAGGGUGGCAGGGACCCGGCGCUUGUCCCUUGCAGCUGGGGCCAGACACGGUCCCCAGCCCACCGGGAGGAUGGACGGCCUCCCAAGGCCGGGCUCAGGGCCUGGGGCAGUGUCUCCAGCCCCCUCAGGGAUGCCUCAGCUGGCCUGGCCACCCCAGGCUUCUCAGCCAUCGAGUUCUCACCUGGACCCAGGGACAGAGCCACGGGGCAGGCAGGAGGGAGGGUUCCCAGGCUCCUCCUGAGGCAGAAGCUGUAAAGCCAGCCAGCAGCUGGGUGACAGAGAGGCUGACCCUGGCUCCAGGGCUGGGGUGGAGGCAGGUGGUUGGCUGCAGGGCUGGCUGCAGGGAUCUGGGGCUGCGCAGGGCUGUGCCCGGCAGGGGUGAGGGGUGAGGCAUCCACAGCUGAGUCUUACCGUGGCCACAGGUCAAGAAGUGAGAAGCGGAAAACGAUGCUCCCGGUUUCCCGAGGGCCCCAUGCGGCACUUCCUUGGUCGACUGUCCAGGAAGUGGAGCCAGUGGGUUAAUCAUCACCGCGGGCCAGACCCAGCUCGGGAAAAUUGAGUGAGUCAGGAGGCCCAGGGCCGCCCCACCGAGGGGCUUUCUGCAGAGCACGCGCACCUGGAGGUGCCCCCGGCUGACCUGGCCGCCUUGCCCGCGCCCCGGCCGGGGCCAGAGCGGGUCCCACCUGCUCGGGCCGGGGUGGGGUGGGAGCGCCGGAGAGGAAUGCAGUUCCAGCACGAAAAGCUACCUCGUUGGUUAACCUGCCCAACGGGCUUAAUCAAUGGUGAGGCCUCGGAGAACAAAGCCUGAAACCCAACCCUCCCCAGCCUGGGUGCAGUCGAGCCAGGGGAGCCUGCGGCCAAGGGGGCGGGGGUGUGGGGCUCAGCCUCACCAAGCUCAGGCUCUCCCCUCCGAGUCCUGGAGCUACAGAGCCGCCAUUUCACCCGCAGCCCUCUCUCAGGCCGGCUGUGAGUGUGUCCACCCGCCCCACAGAGGAGAAGCCAGGCUCCUCGGCCGGUUCAUCUUUCCCUAAAUACACUAAAAACUGUUCUCACAAACUCAUCUGGCAAAUAAGUGUUUACAAAUUACCAAAAUGUCUGCAAAGGGGCCGUGAACUGCAUGCACAUUUCACGGCGGAUUUGCACCGUCACAAGUGCAUGUGCUGCUAAUGCUUUUAAACUCUUCAUCUGGUUACCAGAAAAACACAACACAACACCCCUUUCCCCAGAUGCUCGGCCUGAACAGGCCUAAGAGCUCACAGGGAUUAAUUAAAGCAGUGGCUCCUCAGGCCCCAAAAACUUUGUCCAUCGAGAGCAAUGCACCUCCCCUCCCAUCACCACCAUCAAUCAAUUCCCAAAUGUUAAGACUAAGAAAGCAGUGAGGGGCUGUGAAACCCCUUCUGGUGCCCCUAAGGCAAGUUCAAGGCUGGGCCUCGGUAGGUCAGACCUCACGGCCACGGUCACUGCUCCUGCACCCCACCCCAGUCACAGCGUGGGCACCGCCGGCACCUUCUCCCGGCUGAGCUCAACCUGGACCAGAUGAGCCACGGCCCCGGGCACCAAUCUCACUGCCCACAGGCUCUGAACAAGCCCUUCCCGCCGCAGACUCCGGAGCCCAAGGGAGACGCGGGCAUCUUCAGGCCCAGCCGGACCCUUCUCUGCACCCACCUCAGUGGCAACAGCUUCCCUGCUCCGAAUGCAGUGCCUCAGGCCAGCGCUGGCUGUUUCCGGAGAGAACUUUCUAGAAGGCCUAUUGUCAGGUAGGUAGUGAGAACAUGACCCCUCUCGGAGCCUGCCCUCUGCCUAGGCCCUGCCCCCGGCUGAUGGCCCGAGGAUGCCUCACGCCCAGAGCUCACACGCUGCGCCUGGAAGAUGCAGCCUGUGGGCCCAAGAUGGCUCCGAAUCCGAAACCCAGCCACGUCUGAGCAGGGUCCCACCUUUCCCUGGGAGGGGAAGGACCACUUGGCCUGUGUCCGCAGUGACCGGAGCUCCCUGGACGCUGGCAAGGCUGGCCACUGCCCAUCUGUCACCUGCGCUCUUGCCCCGAGUCCGCCACGGAGGGGCCAGGCCAGGCCUCCCCUGCAGGGAGCAGCCUCCUGGAGCCUUGGCUGCCCGCCACCCGCCCUUACCUGCCCUGACAGGUUCUGCCUCUGAGGACGCUCCCGCCCAGCCCUGCAGCCUGCGCCUCCCCCAUGCCAGGCCCGGGUGGGUGUGAACCGGCUUCGGAAGGGAUGGGGGAGACCCAAGUCCCCGUCCGUCCCCAUCCAAGGAGCCGGGCACGCAGCCUCAGCCUGUCCCCAGCCAGGGUCCAGACUUGGGGUGUCGGGGUUGGGAGGGACCCGGCGGCCACCUAGCAGAGAAGAGUUUCCUACCUCCCCUUCAGGGAAAAGCCGGUUUAGACCUGUACAGGUGGACAACUCGCCUGUCUCGGGGAGAGCGUGGAGGGCGAGGGGACAAUGGGAGGAGGCUGCGAGGUGGGGGCCUCGAGAGGGAAGAGCUGCCGGCGGCUCGCCUUACAAGGAGCCACUCCCCGCCCCACACAGGUGCGGGCUCCCACGGCCAAUCUGCGCUCCUGGCUCCCGACAGGUGUGUCCCCUGGGCUCCCAUAGGCCCGGCAGAGUUGGUCGGGAGGCGGGCGGGAGACAGGUGGUGACGCAGGCCCAGGCCCCUGCACACUCCUUCCUGCCCCACCUUGCCACCGGCCCACCGAGGUUGAACAAAAGCCAGGGUGGGAAGGCUUCAGUGGGGCCCUGCGUGGAGCGAGGGCAGCAGGAGCAGCAGCAGGGGCAGCCACGGGCAACUCUGGCCUCUUCCCCCCACCGCCUCCCCCAUCCCAGUCACAGGACUCCUUCCCAGCCUGCCUUAGAAGGGGGCGAGGUGGCCCAGGGUCCCAGGAGCGGUUCUUCCUGGGUCCCUCUUGGUCUGCAGGAGGCUGGAGGCAGCUCUGACCGAGGGAGAGAGAGCACACAGCUCCACCCACAGACGGAAUGCCUGGAGCAACGUCUGCCCUCUGACCUCAAAGGUUAAACCAUCCAGGCUCGGUGGCCUCACGCUUGUCAUCCCAGCACUUUAGGAGGCCGAGUCCAGAGGAUCACUUGAGCCCAGGAGUUCGAGACCAGCCUGGGCAACAUGGUGAGACCCCGUCUCUACAAAAAAUGUAAAAAUUAGCUGGCUGUGAUGGUGCAGGCCUGUGGGCCCCCCGCGGGAGGAUUGCUUGAGCCUGGGAGGUGGAGGCUGCAGUGAACCUCAAUUGCACCGCCGCCCUCCAGCCUGGGUGACAGAGUCAGACCCUGUCUCAAAAAAGAAAACACAAAGGUAAAAGGCCCGAGUUUUCUGCGGGAGGUUAAUAAGUGUCUCUACCUGGAGUUGGUGAAACAGUGAGAGAGCAACUGACCAGCCCUGGGAAAAGGGAAGCCUCUGGCCCUGUCCAUGGUUCCUCCCGCUUGGGCAGCUGUGUCCUGGCCCAGGAGCCGCCGAUUUCAGCCCUGAACAGCCCGGGGCCCUUGACUGUGGACAUGGAGAGUGGCAGGCACUGGGAGGGCACUGGGUGGGCACUGGGCAUGACCCCAUCACCGUAAUAAAAUCCCUGGGUGGCUCCCUGGCUUCAAGGAGGAAUAUUUGCGUCUGGCUGAACACCUGCCUCCCGGCCUCCUGGUGACACCCCAGGCCCCAAACUGUCCUGCCUGAUUCCCGAGUAGCAUGAAAAUGACCUGCAUCGGCCAUGGGGAUGGAGCGGCCGGACUUGUGCACACUUUCUCACCUGCUUUUUAUUUUUCUUAGACGGAGUCUUGGUCUGUCGCCUAGGCCCGGCUGGCGUGCAGUGGUGCGAUCUCAGCUCACUGCAGCCUCCACCUCCUGGGUUCAAGUGAUUCUCCUACCUCAGCCUCCCGAUCAGCUGGGACUACAGGUGCCACCACCACGCCAAGCUAAUUUUUGUAUUUUUGGUAGAGACAGGAUUUCUCCUUGUUGCCCAGGCUGGUCUCGAACUCCUGACUUCAGGUGAUUUGCCUGCUUUGGCUUCCCAGAGUGCUGGGAUUCCAGGCAUGAGCCACCGUGCCGGGCCUCUCACCUGUUUUUGACCCAAUCACGUGGUUUCCACUGCCCUGCUUUCAUCCUGGAUGGACCUGGGUGUGGCUGCGGGAGGCCUGACCCAGGAGGGCAGCAGAAGUCACCCCCAGGCUGAGCCAGCCCGAGGGGACCCAGCCAGCCAGUCCCUACCCCGGCCCCAGGAGCCUCGGGUGGCUCUGAGCUCCGUGGAUGGCCAGUUCCGAGGCCCUGAACUGGGGAAGGGGCACUGCUAACAGAAUGGCUGAAGGCUGAUGCCAGCUCUGCCUGCACUGCUUGGGUGCAGGGCUUGGGGAGGGGAGGCCUACGAGGCUCACUGGCGCAGGUCUCUCUGGGGACAGGGCAGGGCUCAAGCCUCGGGGGGCACAGGCUGGCACUCCCCAUUUGCCAAGGAAGUGAGUGGCCCUGGGCAUUGUGGGUGGCACCUGAGGCCUCUCCCUCAACGGAAAGAGCUGCGGUGGCUCUGUCAGUGGGCAUGAGCUGGUCAGUGUGGGCCACUCCACACCAGGCCCUGAAAGGCGCUGCAGAGUGUCUGAAUCACUGGGAGCGGGUGGCUGCUGAAGGUCCAGGCCUGGUCCACCCGCGGGUAGGACACUGUCAUGGCAGCCGGGUGGGCGGCACUGGGUGGGGACAGCGGUGAGGGGGCAUGGCUCUCCAGGGGCCGGGAGGCCUGACCCAGGAGGGCAGCAGAAGCCACCCCCAGGCUGAGCCAGCCCGAGGGGACCCAGCCUCCAGCCCCCAGCCCUGGCUGGCCUGAGGGCUCCGAUGGGCAGGGCAGGCAGGACAAAGGCCCUUUGUGUUCCGGCUUUGGCUACUUCCUGAUGGCGCCAGCCACAGAGUCCACAGGGUCCUGGAUUCUCCUGCCAGGCUGUGGAGAGUCCCACCUCUGCCAAGGAAAGAAGGGGAGGACUCAAGAGCCUCUGGAGCUUCAGGUUCAGGACUGGGGCCUCUCUCAUGCUGACUCUGGGCUCUGAAGGGACACAGGCUCAGGGCCGCCCAUGGCUCCUCCACUUCCGGGUUCUCCAGCACACAACCCUCACCCCCCAGUGGUUCCCAGGCUCCUUGGCCGCUGGGGCACCAACACCGGGUGGUGGGGUGGGGGCCGGGGACAGCUGCCCAACCCUCCCUGGGAAUGGUGCCCCUCCCAGGGUGUCAGGCCCAGGGCCCUGGCUCACCCUUCCCGACCCUCCACAGUGUCGGGUCUUGACCUGUAUGUCAAGUAGGGGGCUGUGACCCCCCUACUGCUGAGGGAGGUACGGUGGCCCAGCCACAGACUGUGAGAGGGUCUGGGGCUAAUUUUGGCUUUGCGUCCUCUAGCCAGCACCACCCUGGAACACAGACAGACUUUGCUUGGAGAACUUUGGGAGGAAAACCCAGGCGGGGUUUUGGGAGGUGUCCUAGGCGGGGAGGGUGGGCGGCCCCCAGCACCUAGAGCUGGAGAUGAAACAGGAUGCGGUGGAGGCCCCUCCCACCACCUCCCGGGGCGCCCGGCUGUGUCUAUACAAACCCCAGCAUAGGAGACCCCUUUCCACCCUGGCAGGAAGGCCAUGAAGCCUCCAGGCUGAGGAGGAGCAGGGCUGGGGUGGAACCGGGGGUAGGGAUGGAGGGGCUGGGCAGGCUGGGGGUGGGGCUGCAGUCACCUGUACUCCCUGGACCCUCCUGCCGCCUUCACCUCGGGACCCUGAGGGACCCUGAUUCCAGGGCCAAGUGCUCCCCACCCAGGCCACGCCCUCCCGCCAUACUGCCAGGUGAGGCAGGUGACCCCACCAUUAUUCAAUGCUGCACGGAGCGGGACCCUCCAACCACCUUUUCUCCCCUUUCUUCCCAGCUCCUCCCACCUGCCUGAAGGGCCCAGGCACCUGCCAGCCGCUGCAAGCUCAGGGAAUGCAGGUUCAAGCCAGGAAGCUCACUCUGUCCCCAGCCUGAGGUCCUGGGCCUGGUCGUGCUGUGAGACUUUGGGUCUGCACACAGAGAGAUGCCAGGGUGUGGGUGGGCCAGCCUAGCACCUGGGACCCCUGCCUGCCCCCACCUUCUUGUCCUGAACCAAGCUUGUCCAGCCUGGGUCCAGUGGGUCAGCACAGCCUUCUGCAGCCUGGCUCACCCUGACUGGACCCCCUCUGCCUGAGGCCCUGAUGCUCCCAUGUCCUCUCCCACACUGUAUCCAUGAGGGCUGUGGUGCCUAGCAACACCGCCUCUGCUGAAUUCUCAGGAGGUGUUGACCAAAAGUCUGGAAGCUUUGCCCAGGGUCUGAGACACAGCCUUCUCUAGGGACCUGAUCUGCACGCUGUCCCCUUGUUUUCUUUAGUCAUUUGUUGAGAUCUGCCCCAAUCCUCCACAGCCUCACUUGUCCCCAGAGGCCUCUAGGGCACCAAAGCCAGUGGUCAGCCCUCUGGCCUCCCAGCCUAGUCUGUGGGCAGCUGGUCACCAUGCGCCUCCAAGGCUCAGCCCACUAAGCCACCAGGGCAGAGGCACUCCUGGGAACCAGCGGGCUGGGGUGCUGGUGCCAGGGAAAUGGAGGGGUGGGUGCAGAUGGAGGUGAGAUGUCUGGAGGUUGGGAGGAGCCUGUGCACUCUUCCCUGGUGUCCAGGUCACCGGCACAGAUUUCCUGCAGAUUCCAGCUGAGCAGGUGCAGUUUGAGUGGGAGUUUUCCGAGUGGGGAUUCCAUGCUGGUUACGGGAGCCCAGCAGAGCCUUGACAGAGGUGCACGGCCUGCCUUGGUGACAGAGGGAACGGAGGCUGUAGUCAGGGUGGUGGUGCUCUGAGGAAUCCUGGGACUCCUGGGUGGGAAGAGUGUGGGGUCCUGAAGGCCAGAGGAAGAGAGUGCCCCAGGCAGAGGACACGGCCAGUGCCCAGAUGGGCUGUUUGCAGGAGUGCAGGCGGAGAGUCUAAGACCAGUCUCCUGGCCGAGAAUGACUGAAAUGUUCAACCAUCUGAUCAAAGCUUCGAAGAGCCAAGGAGCUGGUAAGAAUCUACGAAGCCCAAACCAUGGGAAAUCGCAGCCUAGAGGACAACGCUGCUUCCUUGGGGGUCAGCAGGUGUGAGCUUUUGCUCCAAUGUGGAGCUCAUCCACCACGAGACCCUCCCUCCAAAACCUCCCAAAGUGGGGAUGAAGUGAAGGUGACUCCAUCCUUGUGAGACCUCACAGCCCCAGUUCAAGCCACCUUGGUCUUCCAGAGAACCCAAAGGCCACUCAGACCAGGCAGUGUUGUCCCAGGUGCUUGGCAGAAGAAAGCAGAAGGGUGGUGCCUUUGCCCAAGGCACCAAAUCAUCCUACAGAUACUUGUUCAAGUACAGUGAGCAGCACAUAGUCGAAGAUAACCGGUCUCGCAGAGGUAUGAUGGAAACAGACCAGUAAGACCUUCAGGGGCCUGAGAUAUUGGAGUUAUCAGACUCAGAUAAAAACAAAUGAAAAUCAGUACAUUGAAAACAAAGACAGGUUUUAUAUUUGCAGAGAACUUUACCUUAUAAAAAUAUGUAGUAGAUUAAAAAAUCUGAAUGAGCUUUUAGACAUGAAAACAUGAUAGCCACAAUUUAAAACUCAAUAGGCUUAACAGAAGAUUUAAAAUUGCUAAAAAGAAAAUUGGAGUCUGGACGUGGUGGCUCAGGCCUGUGAUCCCAGCACUUUAGGAGGCCGAGGCUAGAGUAUCACUUGAGGUCAGGAGUUUGAGGCCAGCCUGGCCAACCUCAUCUCUACUGAAAACACAGAAAUUAGCCAGGUGUGGUGGUACACGCCUGUACUCGCAGCUUCUCAGGAGGCUGAGGCAAGAGAACUGCUUGAACCCGGGAGGCGGAGGUUGUAGUGAGCUGAGAUUGUGCCACUGCACUCCAGCCUGGAUGACAGAGCCAGACCCUGUCAAAAAGAAAAGAAAGGGAAGGGAAGGGAGGGCAGGGGAGGGAAGGAGGGAACUGGGAGACAGGAAAGUGUAAAGUAUUCAGAAUGAAGGCUAGUAAUAUUUUCAAAGACCACGCGGAUAAGAAUGGGACUGCAAAAUACAUACAUACAAUAUAGAGAACUGGAAAAAGAGAAUGGGAGAAAUAAAUAUUUGAAGAGAUAGUAUCUGAGAAUUUUCCAGAACUGUUAGAAGACAUCCCAACACAGAUUCCAGAAGCCCUGUGAAUCUCAAGCAGGAUAAAUACACAGAAGUCCCAGCUUGCCACCUGUGUGAGCCAUCCUGAAAGCCCACAGUGAAAAAUUGAAGAAAGCUGGGGAAGCAUGAGACAGAUUCCCUUCCAGAGACCAGCGGUGGGAUCGACGGCAGACCUGCCCACAGGACAGUGGGGACAGAACACAGUGGAACAACCGCUUUACACUAAACACCAGCCCGAAAGCAAACAAAAACCAGGAGAAGAACUGAGAAUGUUUGCCAUCAGAGACAUUCGCUCAGAGAAUGUGCAAACCACACACUCCUGCAGGACGAUUCCAGGCAGAAGUUUUGCGGUGCAAAAGAUGACAAAAUCUCAAUUAAUUUUGGCUUUGCACAGCAACAGCAGUAACAAUGAACUGUGGAGUCUUUAAAUAUCUGGAAUUAAAGUGCACUUGUUUGCCGGGUGCCAAAGCUCACAUCUGUAACCCCAGCACUGGGAGGCCAAGGCUGGGGGAUGAGUGGGAAGCCAGCUUGGGCAACAUGGUGAACCCCAUCUGUACAAAAAUUAGAAAACAUUAGCCAGAUGUGGUAGUGCAGACCUGGAGUCCCAGCAUUUGGGAAGCUGAGGUGGGAGGAUCGCCUGAGCCCAGGAGAGCAACAGAGUGAGGCUCUGUCUCAAAAAUAAACAAUAAAUAAAAUGCAAUUGCUUACAGUACCACUAGUGGGGAAACCUGGUGGGUACAACCUUAGCCGGGUGAUGGAGGUGGGUGAGGGUUGACGGAGCUGGGUGGUGUGAAGAACAUGGAAGCCCACAGGAUGAUGGAGCUGGGUGGUGUGGAGAGCGUGGAGCCCCCACAGGAUGAUGGAGCUGGGUGGUGUCGAGAGUGUGGAACCCCCACAGGAUGAUGGAGCUGGGUGGUGUGGAGAGCGUGGAGCCCCCACAGGAUGAUACAGCUGGGUGGUGUUGAGAGUGUGGAACCCCCACAGGAUGAUAGAGCUGGGUGGUGUGGAGAGUGUGGAACCCCCACAGGAUGGGAUGAGAAGGACACUGGGCUCCGGAACCUAGGGCUCCAUCCUCCUCUUCACAAACCCAUUACCCCAGCAUAACCAUGAGAAAAACAUCAGACAACCCAAACUGAGGGGCCUUCUAAACACCUGAGCAGCACACCUCAAAACUGUCAUGGUCUUCAAACCAAGGAAAGUCUAAGAAACUGUCAUGGCCCACGGAGAGGUGAUGAUGCCAUGCCACAGGGGCUUGGAUGGGACAGAGGACGGGAGGGAAACCAGGAAGACCCGGGACAGAGAGAGCACAGGAGGGAGCCAGCAGAGUGUGGGGUUUACUGGCUGGUCAUCAGCACCAGCUUGCAGUGACAGAUGGACCCCGCUGUCGUGGGGUGCUCAUGGUGGCACAGGGUCUAUGCUGUCUGAGAGCUCUCUCUGCAACGUGUCUGUUGAUCAGAAGAUAUUAGAAAUAAAAAGUCUAUUUAAAUGUAUAAUUAAA